UUCUUAUCCAGAGAGGCGGAGGGACUGGCCCGAUGAAGCCCGGCAACCGUCACGCAGUUUGUGACAAGGUGCCAAUUCCUGCAGGACUGAUGACAGUCUUGACAGAUAAGAA
rnacentral:ncRNA from 2 species